UUCUCGUUCAGUCUGGCCUUUGUUUGUUCUAGCUUUGCGUAUAGACCGAUCCGUAAGAGUCCGCGUCCGGAAAAUAGUUUUCAUCGGUAGUUAGCCCCUGCUGCCCCGUUCUAGGGGUACGUAUGUUACGAGGCACAUAGCUACAAGUCUUUUCAUAUGCAUACCAAACCGUAGGCACCAUCGACGUAUAUGCCCACACAGUACGGACGUCUACGUACAGCCCGCCAGUCACACAAAUCAUGCCAAUUCCAUGGCGGCGCUUCGAGCUCUACUAUUUAUAGUUUUGAAAAGAUUUCGGGCAAAUAGAACUCAACGGGUCUCCGCGAGUACAGGCGCAACAUUAUAAUCUGUCUUCAACAAUGAUACCCGCUAUAUAUACAGGUUUUGAAGUAAGUUAAUUAGCAUGUGUACGGCAAGUCUAAGUAAACGACGAAGCGUUGUUUUGAUCUGAAGCUUAAUGAAGCGCCGGCUGCGCACACAUCGUAUUAUGGAUACUGAUCUCAGCUUCACGGAAGAGAAUGAGGCGCGAGUCAGGACAAAGGAUCAAGCGGAGAUUCCAGGAGGACGCCGAUCCAUUAAAGUUCAGAGAGCGAUCCGUUUUCGAGAGUACGUCUAUAUGCAUUUUGUUUUUUGAUCUAACAUUUCUUUUUUUUUUUUUCAGAACGACAUACCCAUUCACAACAGUGCACUCGCAAACAUGCUCAGUUGCUAAAGGCUACUUGAUCCUUUUUGUUAAUUCGCACGAUAUUUGUAGUAUAAAUGUCAAAUACGCCAUGGUAAUCACAAGUACACAGAUCAAUAUCAGUUUAAUAAUACAGAUAGGAGAUUUUGUGCAGUCUAGUGCACAUACUCAUUUCUUACUGGCCGGUACUUGACAAAUUUGAAUUUUUACUAGCUCGCGCUGAUAAGCCCCACGCAAUAGAAUGAGUAUAUUACCUUUACAGUAAGUAAGCCCGCGCACUCCAAAUGGACAAAUUGGCCUCAUGAUGGGCAACUGCCGUCGUGGAAUUUCGUAACUGUUCUAUGGAUAGCUACAUCGUCGUCUACAUUAAUUGAUAUAUACAAAAUUACCUACAAUAUUGCGUUCAAGUUUGAUGGGGCUGUGCCGGAAAGAUCCACUCGGGUCAUUACAGGCCACGGCCGGUUUAGCUUUGUCCUGGCAAGAUCGUUCGGUUUGCGUCCUCAGUUAGCACCGCAGGUACAUGCCAACGUUAAGCCUAAGUCCUCUGGCUUGACACCACGUUCGAUCAAACUACUACAUUGAAGAAUAUUUUACUAAAUGUGAUCGUUGGUACAGCUGUCCCACAUUGCAUUUUAAAGCACCAGCUAAUUGGGCAUUUUGUUUUUUUUUUGAGAAUGAAUUUAAAAGGUUGAAGAUUUCAUGAAACUCCUCUUGGCUCCGAAAACUUUUCUCGGUUGACACGCUGGAAAACAAUAUCCCUCUG